rnacentral:rRNA from 1 species
CACGUAGGGUGCGAGCGUUAUCCGGAUUUACUGGGCGUAAAGAGCGUGUAGGCGGCUUGUUAAGUCUUGCGUGAAAUCUCGGGGCUCAACCCCGAGCGGUCGUGAGAAACUGGCAGGCUAGAGUGCGGGAGAGGAGAGUGGAAUUCCUGGUGUAGCGGUGAAAUGCGCAGAUAUCAGGAAGAACACCCGUGGCGAAGGCGGCUCUCUGGAACGCAACUGACGCUGAGACGCGAAAGCGUGGGGAGCAAACAGG